UAAAUGUAUUGACAUUAAGAUUGAAGUGUA
rnacentral:piRNA from 1 species